rnacentral:rRNA from 1 species
GACGGAGGAUGCAAGCGUUAUCCGGAAUUAUUGGGCGUAAAGCGUCCGUAGGCGGUUUCAAAAGUCUGUUGUUAAAGCCCACAGCUCAACUGUGGAUCGGCAAUGGAAACUGUGAGACUAGAGAGUGGUAGGGGUAGAGGGAAUUCCUAGUGUAGCGGUGAAAUGCUUAGAUAUGACAUAGAACACCCAUUGCGAAGGCAGCUUACUACGGAUAUAUUGACACUGAGGCACGAAAGCGUGGGGAUCAAACAGG